GACGAACGCUGGCGGCGUGCUUAACACAUGCAAGUCGAACGGAAAGGCCCUGCUUUUGUGGGGUGCUCGAGUGGCGAACGGGUGAGUAACACGUGAGUAACCUGCCCUUGACUUUGGGAUAACUUCAGGAAACUGGGGCUAAUACCGGAUAGGAGCUCCUGCUGCAUGGUGGGGGUUGGAAAGUUUCGGCGGUUGGGGAUGGACUCGCGGCUUAUCAGCUUGUUGGUGGGGGAGUGGCUUACCAAGGCCUUGACGGGUAGCCGGCCUGAGAGGGUGACCGGCCACAUUGGGCCUGAGAUACGGCCCAGACUCCUACGGGAGGCAGCAGUGGGGAAUAUUGCACAAUGGGCGGAAGCCUGAUGCAGCAACGCCGCGUGCGGGAUGACGGCCUUCGGGUUGUAAACCGCUUUCGCCUGUGACGAAGCGUGAGUGACGGUAAUGGGUAAAGAAGCACCGGCUAACUACGUG
rnacentral:rRNA from 1 species